UUUGGAUACGAGGUGUUAAACUUUAACAGUGUCACAUCAAAUGUUCGGAUGCUAAUUAGGAGAACUAAAUAUGAGCUAAUUAUAAAACUAAUUGCAGAACCCUAUGCUAAUUCGCGAGACGAAUCUAUUAAGCCUAAUUAAUCCAUCAUUAGCAAAUGGUUACUGUAGCACCACAUUGUCAAAUCAUGUACUAAUUAGGCUUAAUAGAUUCGUCUCGCGAAUUACACUCCAUCUAUGCAAUUAGUUUUGUAAUUAACCUAUGUUUAAUACUCCUAAUUAGCAUUCAAACAUCCGAUGUGACGGGUGUUAAACUUUAACACCGGUGAGCCAAACAGGCCCUAAACUACAACCCUCAAUUUUCUCAGUUUUAUUAACGCGGGCUUGCGCACGGCGCACGGUGUCGACAUCAUUGUCCUUGGCGGCAUAGCGCUGGCGGGACGUCUCAAAGACGAGGAUGUACGGGAGGCCCUUGGAUUUGUAGAGCUUGUGGUUGUCCACGAGCUCGAUCAGCUUCAGCAGCUCGACCACAAGCUUAUGGGUAUCGUCCAGCACGAUGUUAUGAACAAGGUUGUCAGUGCGUCGUGAACAAGGUUGCCAGGGAUGACGACAUCGACGCCGUGCGCCGUGCGCAAACGAGCGAGGCGGCGAGCGGCGGCACGUACGAGUGAGGCGGGCGGGCAGCGGCGCGUCCAACGUUCUGAGCGGUACGUACAUGAAAGCAAGGGUAGUUUAAUCCUUUCACAAUCGGAGGAAAUAAAAUUAUUAAAGAGAUAUAAUGUCAAGUAAAUUAACGUGUCAGUGGUUAUUAAAUUUGGAAGUCUACUUUUGAAGUGUUAAAUAUGCGAAACCACGAGCGUCAAAAAUACAAAUUUCUCAACUCUGGCGAGGUAGAAGAAGAAGAGCGCGCACGAAGCGAAGCGCCACACGGGCCGGCUAGGCCGUCCAAAGGCCAAAGCCCGCCAGCACCGCCGCCCGUUGAGAGAGAGACAAGGGCCGGCCGUGUUGAAAGCGAGAUGGGCUGUAUCAUUCAGGCAUGCCUAUGUGGCUAACUGGCCAUGUCCCGUUUUCGUCAAGAAAAAAACAUAAACAAGCCUGCCGUUUCAUGCCUCUUUUUUUAACGCACCAUUUCAUGCCUUAGAAGCAUCACCCAACAGUUGCCAUCGAAGCAUCACCCAGCAGUUGCCAUCAUCUUCAUAGGAUCGCAGGAAGCGAUUUUCCAUUCAUCUACCAUGUCCUUUUCGUGACUCCUAUCCCUGGAAGCAAAAUGUACCCGGAUGGACGAAGCUGCAAGGCAGGUGUUAUCUGAUAUGGACCUGAGCCCUUGUUUGUUUGGAAUCUGUCAGAGUAUCAGAGUGUUGAACGUUGAACUGAUGUACUCUGAUAAACCUUUUUCUCUUCACUGACUUGGCCCACUGGCACACAACAUAUCAAAUGUCAUCGUCUACAAUGGCUGCACGGUGCUAAGAACACACGGCUACUUUAGUUGCGUAGAAUAUAGGCCUUGUUUAGUUAGGGAAUUUGGGAGGUGCCAAAUUACUGUUACAGCACUGUAGCACACUGUAGCGUUUCGUUUGUAUUUGUGAAUUAUUGUCCAAAUAUUGACUAAUUAGGCUCAAAAGAUUCGUCUCGCAAAGUACAACAAAACUGUGCAAUUAGUUUUUAAUUUCAUCUACAUUUAGUACUCCAUGCAUGUACCGCAAGUUUGAUGUGAUGGGGAAUCUUCUUUUUGCAUAGUGUCAAAGUUGGGAGUAACUAAACAUGUCCAUAGUUUGCCCCUUCUGUUUACACGAUCUUGCUUCACGAGCAGUGGCCACCCUGAAUCAACGACUAUCAAAGCAGUUGCUUCCAAGAACCUUUGAAACAAGACACUGAAAGACCGAAGAGUAUAUUGCCAGAUACUGAACGACUGAAGAGCGUGCCUGACAGCUUGAUCUCCAUUAUUUCAGGUCAAAGGCUCUCCCAGUCUCCCUUAUCAGUAACUCACAGAUAAGUGGAUACUGUGAAGAGCGAAAGACUGAUUAGAGGAGCAACAAGAAACAGUCACGAG
rnacentral:lncRNA from 1 species